AAAGCUCAAAUUUAAAAUCUGGCAGUCUUUGGCUGUCCGAGUUGUAAUCUAGAGAAGCAUUAUCCGCGCUGGACCGUGUACAAGUCUCCUGGAAUGGAGCGUCAUAGAGGGUGAGAAUCCCGUCUUUGACAUGGACUACCAGGGCUUUGUGAUGUGCUCUCAAAGAGUCGAGUUGUUUGGGAAUGCAGCUCAAAAUGGGUGGUAAAUUCCAUCUAAAGCUAAAUAUUGGCGAGAGACCGAUAGCGAACAAGUACCGUGAGGGAAAGAUGAAAAGAACUUUGGAAAGAGAGUUAAACAGUACGUGAAAUUGCUGCAAGGGAAACGCUUGAAGUCAGUCGCGUUGUCCAGGGAUCAACUCUUGCUUUUGCUUGGUGUACUUCCUGGUUAACGGGUCAGCAUCAAUCUUGACCAUUGGAAAAAGAUCAGGGGAAUGUGGCAUCUUUAGAUGUGUUAUAGCCCUUGGUUACAUACAUUGGUUGGGAUUGAGGAACUCAGCACGCCGCAAGGCCGAGUUUUUAACUACGUACGUGCUUAGGAUGCUGGCAUAAUGGCUUUAAUCGACCCGUCU
rnacentral:sRNA from 1 species